rnacentral:rRNA from 1 species
AGGACGAACGCUGGCGGCGUGCUUAACACAUGCAAGUCGAGCGGAAAGGCCCUUCGGGGUACUCGAGCGGCGAACGGGUGAGUAACACGUGAGCAACCUGCCCUUAGCUCUGGGAUAGCUCCGGGAAACCGGAAAUUAAUACCGGAUAUUACACCGGCUGGCAUCGGCUGGUGUGGAAAGAUUUAUCGGCUAAGGAUGGACUCGCGGCCUAUCAGCUUGGUUGGUGGGGUAGAAGCCUACCAAGGCGACGACGGGUA